rnacentral:rRNA from 1 species
AGUAGUUUGAUCCGUGGCUCGAGGACGAACGCUGGCGGCGUGCUUAACACAUGCAAGUCGAGCGGGGAUAAUGGAACUGAAAGCUUCGGCCGGAAGAUCUGUUAUUCCAGCGGCGGACGGGUGAGUAACGCGUGAGCAAUCUGUCCCAGACAGGGGGAUAACACUUGGAAACAGGUGCUAAUACCGCAUAAGACCACGUCCUCACAUGGGGAUGAGGUAAAAGGAGCGAUCCGGUUUGGGGUGAGCUCGCGUCCGAUUAGCUAGUUGGCGAGGUAACGGCCCACCAAGGCGACGAUCGGUAGCCGGCCUGAGAGGGUGAACGGCCACAUUGGGACUGAGACACGGCCCAAACUCC